UAAUAUUGACGAUGAUGAUGAUGGUGAUGGUGAUGAUGGUGAUCAGCAGCAUCAUCGUCGUCAUCAUCAUCGUCAUCGUCGUCAUCAUC
rnacentral:pre_miRNA from 1 species